GUCCUUGUCGAUUAGUGGUCAGAUCGUCACGUUGUGGGAUCUCCCGCAGAACCGUGAAGACGGAGGCUCGAAUCCUCCCUGGGACA